ACAGCAGUAGCCACGGUAAUACGAAGGGGGCUAGCGUUGUUCGGAUUUACUGGGCGUAAAGCGCACGUAGGCGGACUUUUAAGUCAGGGGUGAAAUCCCGGGGCUCAACCCCGGAACUGCCUUUGAUACUGGAAGUCUUGAGUAUGGUAGAGGUGAGUGGAAUUCCGAGUGUAGAGGUGAAAUUCGUAGAUAUUCGGAGGAACACCAGUGGCGAAGGCGGCUCACUGGACCAUUACUGACGCUGAGGUGCGAAAGCGUGGGGAGCAAACAGGAUUAGAUACCCCAGUAGUCCCUGUCUCUUAUAC
rnacentral:rRNA from 1 species